UACGUAGGGUGCAAGCGUUUGUCCGGAAUUAUUGGGCGUAAAGAGCUCGUAGGCGGUUUGUCGCGUCUGCUGUGAAAACUCGGGGCUUAACCCCGGGCCUGCAGUGGGUACGGGCAGACUAGAGUGCGGUAGGGGAGACUGGAAUUCCUGGUGUAGCGGUGAAAUGCGCAGAUAUCAGGAGGAACACCGGUGGCGAAGGCGGGUCUCUGGGCCGUAACUGACGCUGAGGAGCGAAAGCGUGGGGAGCGAACAGG
rnacentral:rRNA from 1 species